rnacentral:rRNA from 1 species
CAAACGACUCUCGGCAACGGAUAUCCCGGCUCUCGCAUCGAUGAAGAACGUAGCGAAAUGCGAUACUUGGUGUGAAUUGCAGAAUCCCGUGAAUCAUCGAGUUUUUGAACGCAAGUUGCGCCCGAUGCCAUUAGGCUGAGGGCACGUCUGCCUGGGUGUCACGU